GAUGAACGCUGGCGGCGUGCCUAAUACAUGCAAGUCGAGCGAACAGACGAGGAGCUUGCUCCUCUGACGUUAGCGGCGGACGGGUGAGUAACACGUGGAUAACCUACCUAUAAGACUGGGAUAACUUCGGGAAACCGGAGCUAAUACCGGAUAAUAUAUUGAACCGCAUGGUUCAAUAGUGAAAGACGGUUUUGCUGUCACUUAUAGAUGGAUCCGCGCCGCAUUAGCUAGUUGGUAAGGUAACGGCUUACCAAGGCAACGAUGCGUAGCCGACCUGAGAGGGGGAUCGGCCACACUGGAACUGAGACACGGUCCAGACUCCUACGGGAGGCAGCAGUAGGGAAUCUGCCGCAAGGGGCGAAAGCCUGACGGAGCAACGCCGCGGGAGUGAUGAAGGUCUGCGGAUCGUAAAACUCUGUUAUUAGGGAAGAACAAAUGUGUAAGUAACUAUGCACGUCUUGACGGUACCUAAGCAGAAAGCCACGGCUAACUACGG
rnacentral:rRNA from 1 species